GACGAACGCUGGCGGCGUGCCUAAUACAUGCAAGUAGAACGCUGAAGGAGGAGCUUGCUUCUCCGGAUGAGUUGCGAACGGGUGAGUAACGCGUAGGUAACCUGCCUGGUAGCGGGGGAUAACUAUUGGAAACGAUAGCUAAUACCGCAUAAGAGUAGAUGUUGCAUGACAUUUGCUUAAAAGGUGCAAUUGCAUCACUACCAGAUGGACCUGCGUUGUAUUAGCUAGUUGGUGGGGUAACAGCUCACCAAGGCGACGAUACAUAGCCGACCUGAGAGGGUGAUCGGCCACACUGGGACUGAGACACGGCCCAGACUCCUACGGGAGGCAGCAGUAGGGAAUCUUCGGCAAUGGACGGAAGUCUGACCGAGCAACGCCGCGUGAGUGAAGAAGGUUUUCGGAUCGUAAAGCUCUGUUGUAAGAGAAGAACGAAAGUGAGAGUGGAAAGUUCACAC
rnacentral:rRNA from 1 species